rnacentral:rRNA from 1 species
AGAAUCAACGCUGGCGGCGUGCCUAACACAUGCAAGUCGCACGAGAAAGGGGCUUCGGCUCUGAGUAAAGUGGCGCACGGGUGAGUAACACGUGAAUUAUCUACCUCCGAGUGGGGAAUAACUGAGAGAAAUCUUAGCUAAUACCGCAUAACACUUACGAGUCAAAGCAGCAAUGCGCUUGGAGAGGAGUUCGCGGCCGAUUAGUUAGUUGGCGGGGUAAUGGCCCACCAAGACGAUGAUCGGUAUCCGGCCUGAGAGGGCGCACGGACACACUGGAACUGAAACACGGUCCAGACUCCUACGGGAGGCAGCAGUGGGGAAUUUUGCGCAAUGGGGGAAACCCUGACGCAGCAACGCCGCGUGGAGGAUGAAAUAUCUUGGUAUGUAAACUCCUUUCGAUGGGGAAGAUUAUGACGGUACCCAUAGAAGAAGCCCCGGCUAACUUCGCGCCAGCAGCCGC